GAUGAUCGCUGGCGGCGUGCCUAAUACAUGCAAGUCGAGCGAACGGACGAGAAGCUUGCUUCUCUGAUGUUAGCGGCGGACGGGUGAGUAACACGUGGAUAACCUACCUAUAAGACUGGGAUAACUUCGGGAAACCGGAGCUAAUACCGGAUAAUAUUUUGAACCGCAUGGUUCAAAAGUGAAAGACGGUCUUGCUGUCACUUAUAGAUGGAUCCGCGCUGCAUUAGCUAGUUGGUAAGGUAACGGCUUACCAAGGCAACGAUGCAUAGCCGACCUGAGAGGGUGAUCGGCCACACUGGAACUGAGACACGGUCCAGACUCCUACGGGAGGCAGCAGUAGGGAAUCUUCCGCAAUGGGCGAAAGCCUGACGGAGCAACGCCGCGUGAGUGAUGAAGGUCUUCGGAUCGUAAAACUCUGUUAUUAGGGAAGAACAUAUGUGUAAGUAACUGUGCACAUCUUGACGGUACCUAAUCAGAAAGCCACGGCUAACUACGUG
rnacentral:rRNA from 1 species